UAGAUUCUGGAUUCGCCCCUGCUCUGUAUGCUUAUAUCUGUGUGACUAUAUGACUGUGUAUUAUAUGUAUUUGUAUGCCUGUGUCUGUAUUUCUAUAUGCAGUGUCUGAAUGUCUCUGUAUGUCUGGUUUGUAUGACUGUGUAUGUAUGUCUUUGUAUGCCUGUGUUUGUAUGUCUAUAUGACAGUGUCUGAAUGCCUCUGCAGAAAUUGCAGCAAGAUUUGAUUUUGUUUGGGCAAAAUAAUCUUUUACCUAUUUGGGUAUAAAG